AUUGAACGCUGGCGGCAGGCCUAACACAUGCAAGUCGAGCGGUAGCACAGAGAGCUUGCUCUCGGGUGGCGAGCGGCGGACGGGUGAGUAAUGUCUGGGAAACUGCCUGAUGGAGGGGGAUAACUACUGGAAACGGUAGCUAAUACCGCAUAACGUCGCAAGACCAAAGAGGGGGACCUUCGGGCCUCUUGCCAUCAGAU
rnacentral:rRNA from 1 species